GUCCACGCCCUAAACGAUGAUGACUAGUUGUUGGAGGAGUUAAAUCCUUUAGUAACGCAGCUAACGCGUGAAGUCAUCCGCCUGGGGAGUACGGUCGCAAGAUUAAAACUCAAAGGAAUUGACGGGGGCCCCGCACAAGCGGUGGAUGAUGUGGUUUAAUUCGAUGCAACGCGAAAAACCUUACCUACCCUUGACAUGCCAGGAACGCUCCAGAAAUGGGGCGUGCCCGAAAGGGAACCUGGACACAGGUGCUGCAUGGCUGUCGU
rnacentral:rRNA from 1 species